CUUUUGUUUAGGUAUGGCAGUUAAUGCGCCAAAUUCACGAGCUCACUGCCGUUAAAAAAGUGUGUGUGCUGGCUUUCGAUGAGAUGAAGCCUACCGACGACUUCGUCAGGAAGCCCGCAAAUUAUGUUCAAGUGGUUAUGGCGCCCCGAUUAUUUAAAUCCUGGAAGCAACCAGUAUUUUACGAUUUUGAUUGUAAAAUAACCGUCGAACAUACGAUUAUUUCGGCUGUGCAAAACGCUGGCUUCCCUGUUCUUGCGAUGGUCUGGGAUAUGGGCCCAUCGCCCCAAAAGCUUUGGAGAGACUUCGGUAUCACUCCAGUUAUACAUUUAAUUCACUAAUACAUAGCUAAUUAACAAUUAAUUAGAACACCCAUGGUUCACCAACCCUAUUGACCCGGAGGCGAAGGUUUUCGCAAUUGCGGAUGUUUCGGAUCUAUUGAAGCUCAUCCGAAAUAAUUUUAUUGAUACUGGAUUCGUUUGGAAAGACGGUACAUUAACCACGCGCGCAAUCGUUGAUGUUAUGGGGUUCACAUCUGUAUCCGACCUAUCCAUAACAUUCAAGUUAACAGAAGAGCACUUAGCUGUAAAAGGGAUAGGCAAACAAAAUAUAAAAUUGGCGACACAGUUGAUUUCUAACACGACUGCAAACAAGCGAUUAAGACAGCUGAACUAAUUCAGUUGGUGAAUGAUUGGUACGGCGUGCUCAUUUCCUCCGUUAAAAUGUUAAACUAUCCUGGAAAGGUCCCAUUUGGACGGAAGAUGCAGCAGCAGCUCCAGAUUUUGGUGCGGAUGAAUAAUUUCAUGUCAGAUGUUGUCAUCCCUCGUAAAAAUUGCAUCAACAGUUUCAAAGAAGAGUUUUGGUAACGAAUGACGCACUGUUACAGUUGUACGAGUAUGUGGUAGUAAAGUACAACUUCAACUGAGUUGUCACACGGCGUCUAAAUCAAGAUUUGCUGCAGCACUUCUUCGGGAACAUACGAAGCAAUGGAGGAUUAAACGAUCACCCUAAGCCGAAGGAGUUUAGGUACAGGCUCCGAAAAUAUAUUUUAGCAAGAAAUGCCAAAAAUCUGAAAAAAAACAGUCAACGUCGAGCAGGAUUCUGUUGAAUGGCUGAAUACAUCAAACCCGCAGGUGUUGUGUGGAAACAGGGUGUUCGGAAAUAGCUACAGAUGAACAUGAAGUAGAAGAACCAGAGUCAGGGGAAGCAGAAUCGGAAGUGGUUGACGCUAUGAGUGUCGCUCACGCCAAGGGCGAUGGCGAUGUGCUGGAAGGAGAUGCAGAUGUGCUGCAUGGCGAUGCGCUAGAAUAUAUGUACGUGUACGUGCCUUGGAACCAAACGAAAUGGUUUUCUGUCAACAUUGUUUCACCACCUACUGGCGAGGUAGCAACACCGGUCGGUUAGUGACAGCAAAGAUGAGAAAUUCAUCAGUACACCGACAUCAUCACCCCUCAAAGAAUCGCGCCUGAAAGUGUAAACCGGGCAAUAAUUUCAUUAAAUUAAAAUCCAAGGCAACGCUUGUUGGUACUUGGGAUUUCAAACAGAUGCGUUAUUUCGUAUCACAAUUGGAGUUCUUCACUGAGCAAGUUCAGUUCAGAACUCUACCAUUUCUGGUCACUACCAGGCCUGCGCAAGAACUACCGCCACAACUAAAAUAGAAGCAACCACAACCACCAGAACAACGCAUCAAGCGAAAUCUUCUACUCAGGACCACAAAAGACUCGUGCGCAUUUGUGCAAUGUGUUUUGAGAAACUCUGAGGCAACAGAGUAAUUUUUACGUGAAGAUAUCGAUAGCAGCGCACUGCUUCGCUACAGCAAUCAGAAUUUCCUGAAA